rnacentral:rRNA from 1 species
AGUGAACGCUGGCGGCGUGCUUAACACAUGCAAGUCGAACGAGAACGGAUUAUAGCUUGCUAUAAUUGUCAGCUAAGUGGCGCACGGAUGAGUAAUGUAUAGGAAAUAUGCCUCUUACUAAGGGUAAACAAAUGGAAACGUUUGCUAAUACCUUAUACUCCUUAUUAACAUAAGUUAUUAAGUGAAAGAUUUAUUGAUAAGAGAUUAGCCUGUAUUGUAUCAGUUAGUUGGUGGGGUAAUGGCUUACCAAGACUAUGAAACAUAACUGGUCUGAGAGGAUGAUCAGUCACACUGGGACUGAGACACGGUCCAGACUCCUACGGGAGGCAGCAGUGGGGAAUAUUGCACAAUGGACGAAAGUCUGAUGCAGCAACGCCGCGUGGAGGAUGACACAUUUCGGUGCGUAAACUCCUUUUAUAUGAGAAGAUAAUGACGGUAUUAUAUGAAUAAGCACCGGCUAACUCCGUGCCAGCCGCCGCAGUAA